GACGAACGCUGGCGGCGUGCCUAAUACAUGCAAGUCGAGCGAAUGGAUUAAGAGCUUGCUCUUAUGAAGUUAGCGGCGGACGGGUGAGUAACACGUGGGUAACCUGCCCAUAAGACUAGGAUAACUCCGGGAAACCGGGGCUAAUACCGGAUAACAUUUUGAACCGCAUGGUUCGAAAUUGAAAGGCGGCUUCGGCUGUCACUUAUGGAUGGGCCCGCGUCGCAUUAGCUAGUUGGUGAGGUAACGGCUCACCAAGGCAACGAUGCGUAGCCGACCUGAGAGGGUGAUCGGCCACACUGGGACUGAGACACGGCCCAGACUCCUACGGGAGGCAGCAGUAGGGAAUCUUCCGCAAUGGACGAAAGUCUGACGGAGCAACGCCGCGUGAGUGAUGAAGGCUUUCGGGUCGUAAAACUCUGUUGUUAGGGAAGAACAAGUGCUAGUUGAAUAAGCUGGCACCUUGACGGUACCUAACCAGAAAGCCACGGCUAACUACGUGCCAGCCGCCGCGGUAA
rnacentral:rRNA from 1 species